AGUUCGAUCCUGGCUCAGAUUGAACGCUGGCGGGAUGCUUUACACAUGCAAGUCGAACGGCAGCACGGACUUCGGUCUGGUGGCGAGUGGCGAACGGGUGAGUAAUGUAUCGGAACGUGCCUAGUAGCGGGGAUAACUACGCGAAAGCGUGCAGCUAAUACCGCAUGAUACUCUUCGGGGGAAAGCGGGGGGACCUUCGGGCCUCGCACUAUUAGAGCGGCCGAUAUCGGAUUAGCUAGUUGGUGGGGUAACGGCUCACCAAGGCGACGAUCCGUAGCUGGUUUGAGAGGACGACCAGCCACACUGGGACUGAGACACGGCCCAGACUCCUACGGGAGGCAGCAGUGGGGAAUUUGGACAAUGGGAACCUGAUCCAGCCAUCCUGCGUGUGAUACGGCCUUUCGGGUUGUAAAGAAUUUUUGCAGAGAAGAACAGUACGGGAUAAUACCCCGUGCAACUGACGGUACUCAGUAGAAUAAGCACCGGCUAACUACGUGCCAAGCAGCCGCGGUAAUACGUAGGGUGCAAGCGUUAACGAACUACAUUGGCGUAAAAGCGCGCAGGCGGUUCAAAAGAAAGAUGGAACCCGAGCUUAACUUUGGAACUGCAUUUUUAACUACCGAGCUAGAGUGUGUCAGAGGGAGGUGGAAUUCGCGUGUAGCAGUGAAAUGCGCAGAUACGCGGAGGAACACUGAUGGCGAAGGCAGCCUCCUGGGAUAACACUGACGCUCAGCGAACAAAGCGUGGGGAGCAAACAGGAUUAGAUACCCUGGUAGUUCCACGCCCUAAACGAUGUCAACUAGCUGUUGGGGCCUCGGGCUCCUGGUAGCGCAGCUAACGCGGAAGUUGACCGCCUGGGAGUACGGUCGCAAGAUUAAAACUCAAAGGAAUUCGAUUGGGACUCGUACGCGGUGGAUGAUGUGAUUGUCUGACGCAACGCGAAAACCUUACCUACCUUUGACAUGUCUGGAAUCCCGAAGAGAUUUGGGAGGUGUCGUAAAGAGAACCGGAACACAGGUGCUCAUGGUUGCCGUCAGCUCGUGUCGUGAGAGCGGUUAGUUAAGUCCCGCAACGAGCGCAACCCUUGUCAUUAGUUGCUACGAAAGCGUACCACGAGACUGCUUGCGACAAACCGAGGAAGGUGGGGAUGACGUCAAGUCCUCAUGGCUCAUGGGUAGGGCUUCACGUCAUACAAUGGUCGGGACAGAGGGUCGCCAACCCGCGAGGGGAGCCAAUCCCAGAAACCCGAUCAGCCCGAUCGCAGUCUGCAACUCGGACUGCGAAGUCGGAAUCGCUAGUAAUCGCGAUCAGCAUGUCGCGGUGGAACAUGUCUGGUUCCUAGCACACCGCCCGUCACACCAUGGGAGGUUUUACCAGAAGUAGUUAGUCAACCGUAAGGAGGGCGAUUACCACGGUAGGAUUCAUGACUGGGUAAGCCGCACAAGGUAA
rnacentral:rRNA from 1 species